UCCCCAAAAGAAGACGCGCUGUACUGUUGAGCUACCCCCUCCCUAAACUCCCAAGAAUCUACUUUCUUUUCCCUUCUUUGAGGUACUGGGGGUGGGAACCCCUCACAGGCUAAGCAAGAGCUCUAACACCUUUCUGGAGAUUCCAUAUCAAAGUGGGGUAGGGGACGAGACCUCGGCCACGUGGCUGGGCAGUUGGCCACCCCCUGCCCGCUGCAGGGACUUGCUAACCACGGGCACCGAGCGGCCGCCCUCGAGCCUGCCACCUGAUGGCAAUCUCUGACUCGAGAACAAGCCGAGCCCUGGCCUGAGCCAGUCUUCCCACACCUGAGCCCAAUCCAGCAGGCGCUAAGGAGGAAGGCCUGGAGCCAACAUCAGGAAGAACCUAUAAAUACGCCCCAGCCCGCCUGCAGGCCCCUGCUGCCGUCUUGUUUCUGGAGAGAGUCAGUCUGCUCUUUUUCCUUCAAAGCACCCUUUCUCCUUGAGCGCUUUUGUGCUUUUUCCUUUGAUCUUCCUUUUUUUGCUCUAAGUAUCUUUCAUAUUCGCCACUGCAAGUCGUAGAAAGAUUCACAUUUUCUUUAAAUCCCUAUGUUGUGUGCUGGUGCUUGAGGAAACAAACAGAAGGCAGGGAGGGAGACAAAGUCCUCCGGAGGCCCUGCAGCACCUUCCCGUGUCCCAGGCUCUCUGGGUGUGAUGCCCGCUGACUCUAGGCUCAGUGUGGCUGACUUUCUCAAGCUAGGCCGCUGAGCCGUGGGGGCGAACUCGGUAAGCACACUGCACAGUGCUCGCUGAUACCUGUGAGGAGCCUGCUGCCGAGCUUAGGAAGAGCCUGUGCCCACAGGAAGCACCGGAGACGCUGGGCUCCCGCUCUGCAGGGGCUGAGGGGUCACUGGAUCGCGCAGCACGGAGGCUGCCCGCGGCUGAAGGGUCCCGCACGGGGGCGCCCAGGCGCCCAGGCAGGCUCAGUAGCGGAGGCCAGGCCUUCCCUUUGCACCGCGGCCCGAAGGGACAGGGCGGGGCGGCACCGUGCUGGGUGCGCUCAGCGUGGAGAAGAUGAACCCUGCGGCGCCCCCAGUUCCUCGUCUGCGCCCGCAUGCGGGGAACAGAUCUGCCCCAAGGCCUCGGGCCGCGGUGUGCAGCACGCCCUCCCCGCCCGAUGGAGGAGGAGGAAAGAGACUUGAGAAGCUUCCACCAGGGCUGGCGUUUACACUGGGGUGAGAACCGAAAGGGGGCUGCCGUGCUGUGGAUCUGUGCAGGAGCCCAGCAAGGCUAAACACUGCUUUUCUACCAAAAGGACUGGACUGAAACAAGGAACAUUUCAAAGUGAAAGUCUUUUUUGAUAAAUGCUCACAUUUCUUAGAUCUGCCAACUUCGAGGGCCGCAGGAAGUACAAGGAAGCAGCUGUGUGCCGGCGCUUGCGAACAAACUCCUUCCUGCAGCCAGGGUAGUGUGUGCCCGGGUGAUGGUCUCUGCAGGGCAGUCCCUCUGUGUGACGGUCUCGGGAGGCAGGGAGGUGACAAAGGCGGUGGGCGACAGGAACCUCAGGGCGCGCCUUCGGAAGGAGGCUGCGGCUCAAGGCUGUUGGUCAGGUGGGAGAAGCCAGGAAAAGGCCCAAGUCCGUGGUUCAUGGGUUCAUGGGUUCAUGUUAUCAAAUUGAGGCUAAACCGGACUUCCCCGACGCUGCUGUACGCAAGCCGUGUCUGGAGUUCCAGGACGCGCACUUUUCACAUGUUGGUAAAUGGAAAUUGAUUUCAUCAAAACGGCUUAACUGAGCCUCCCCUGCCACGUUCAGAAAGCGUGCAGGGAGUUUGAAUAAAAACUGAGAAACCGGAAGGGCCAUGGCUGAGAGGCGAGGGGAUUCAUGUUUCACACUGUAGCGGGAAUCCGUGAGAGCCGAGGACCGCAACCCCCAGAUAGCCAGGAAGCCCAAAACGGAGGCUGCUGAGUCACAACCCUCCAGGGGUCUUACAGCAAACCUGCCAAGUCUCCCCGGCUGCCCGGGAGCUCUGAGAGCAUGACUGCAGGCCAUGGGCUCCUGCAGGGGCCCCACAUGGGCGCUAGGUGAGCACUGCACAGGCUGGACCUUAAAAGAGUAGUCGACUCCUCUAGGGUAGAGGUUGUAUUGCCUACACAGUGGCCCAAGCUCCCUUCUAAGCCCCUCAAAAACCCCUAGCUAAAGAACCCUUGUGGCUACCCUACUCUGCACCCCCAGUAAAGCUAGCCAGGAGCUUUAGUUUCUUCCCUUUAUAUCUUUUAAGUAAAUUUGUACCCUUA